GAUCAAUAAGCAAAUUAGGUCAAAUUAAGACCCUUAUAGGAACUUGGACAACCAUAAUGAAAAUCUUACACUGGCUUUAGAAUGGGCUUAUGCUUCAAAGGUAGAUCUCAAAAGAUGCUGGAAAGGUGAUUUUCUCUUAUAGAUUUGAGGAAUUAUUAUAUGUAAUAUGUUGCCCUUAAAUGUAUUCUGACAGAGAGCCAGAACAAAUAGCCUUGUCUGAGCAUUGAGGAGUGAGAAUACAGACAUGAUUAUUUUUCACUAGUUAAAUUCUAAAACUUUAAGAGCAGAUGAAGUGUGUCUAUACUAUGAUGGUAUGUAAUUUGUGGUAUCAGUCUCACUAUGUUAAGUAAAAGCUUGUCUGUUAUAACGGUGAUACAAGAUUAAUAGCAG
rnacentral:lncRNA from 1 species